GGAAUUAUAACUUAAUUGGUAAAGUGUCAGCCUGUCACGUUGAAGAUUGCGGGUUCAAAUCCCGUUUUUUCCG
rnacentral:tRNA from 1 species